AUCAGAAUCAGUGUAUGGUAUCCCUAUCUCUGACGCAACAAGAUGGCGUGUUGUUGAUGUUUCGUUGUGGUUGACUUGGUAUAGUUUUGUUGUGAUAUAUCCGUGUUAAUGCUAUAAAAAUGAAUUAAACUAAAAAGAGUGAAGUGCGAAAACUAUUGUUUUGUAUGAUUUCGAAAUAUGAAGAGAAAAAGCUUGUGAAACAAGCCGUAUUGCGAGAAAAACAGGAUUGUUUACGUACUGUGACUGAUUUUUUUGGUUAAUAGUCUUGAGGAUAAUGCACGAAAUGCUGAAGUAAAACAAGCAAUUGAAAAAAUCACAGAUUUAGAUCAAAAAGAUAUGAUGAAAUCGCAGAACCAGUACUUAGAAGAACUAUCUUCACUCACCGAUGUAAGUGUUAUUACAUUGAAGAGAAUUAAAAAAGAAGGUGCGGUGAACGAAGGGGUCUGGAGGACUCCAGGUAAAAAAAACGACCUCACCCUUUAAAAGUGUCGAACUUAGAUAGUUUCGAUAUGGAUGUUAUUCGUAAUAAAAUAAACGAAUUUUACAUUGUGAGGAAACAAGUACCAACAUUAAGAUCUUUGUUGGUAGAGUUAAAAGAAAGUAUAGAAUUUGGUGGAUGUCGUGAAACUCUCCGUCGCAUAUUAUUAGGCAACGGUUAUGAAUUUAAGAAAAAUAAAAAUGAACGUUCCUUAUUAAUUGAACGGUAUGAUAUAGCUGCAUGGAGAAAUCGCUUUUUGCGUACCAUUGCAUCGAAACAUGCAGAAGGCAAGCCAAUAAUCUACUUAGAUGAAACUUAUGUUAACAAAACCUAUAAGUCUUAAAACUGUUGACAAGGUCCAUCAACAAGUGGAAUAAUUGAAAAUAUAUUGUCAGGAAAACGAUAUAUUAUUGUGCAUGCAGGAUCAGAGAAAAGCCCUGUUCCAAACUCAUUGUUGGUAUUUAGCACCAAAUUGAAAAUGUCCGACUACCACCAUGACAUGAAUUCCACAAACUUUAACAAAUGGCUUCAAGAAAAGCUUAUGCCCAAUUUGAAUGAACCAAAUGUAAUUGUAAUGGACAAUGCAUCAUACCAUUCUGUCAUAAUAAAUGAAGGGCCCACA